AUGAACGCUGGCGGCGUGCUUAACACAUGCAAGUCGAACGAAGCACUUUAUUUGAUUUCCUUCGGGACUGAUUAUUUUGUGGCUGAGUGGCGGACGGGUGAGUAACGCGUGGGUAACCUGCCUUGUACAGGGGGAUAACAGUUGGAAACGGCUGCUAAUACCGCAUAAGCGCACAGCAUCGCAUGAUGCAGUGUGAAAAACUCCGGUGGUAUAAGAUGGACCCGCGUUGGAUUAGCUAGUUGGUGAGGUAACGGCCCACCAAGGCGACGAUCCAUAGCCGACCUGAGAGGGUGACCGGCCACAUUGGGACUGAGACACGGCCCAAACUCCUACGGGAAGCAGCAGUGGGGAAUAUUGCACAAUGGGCGAAAGCCUGACGCAGCGACGCCGCGUGAGCGAAGAAGUAUUUCGGUAUGUAAAGCUCUAUCAGCAGGGAAGAUAAUGACGGUACCUGACUAAGAAGCACCGGCUAAAUACGUG
rnacentral:rRNA from 1 species